rnacentral:lncRNA from 1 species
CCAAUUAAAUUUUUUUUGUUUCAACAAUUCUUAUCAAGCCUACUGAUUAACAUCAUGCCAAUUUUAAAGAUAUAUCAUGAAAAGCAAACAAAGCAAUUGUGUGCCCUCCACGCUCUCAACAAUAUAUUCCAAGGUAAGUUACAUUUCACUGAAAUGCUUUUGAAUACCAUUCUGAUAAACUGACAUGAAUAUAUGCAUGUUAAUAUACAUAUGUAUGUAUGUAUAAAAUAACUGUAUUGCCAGAACAUAUUUACAGAAAGGAAGAGCUGGACAAUAUAUGCAUUAACUUAAGUCCCAACGUAUGGAUAAAUCCUCAUCGAUCCCUUCUUGGACUCGGAAAUUAUGAUAUUAAUGUUAUUAUGACCGCCUUAGAGCUAAGAAAUUGUGAGGCCUUUUGGUUUGAUAAACGAAAAGACCCGUCUGGCAUUGACUUAGAUUCAAUUGUGGGUUUUAUACUCAACAUUCCAUCAGAUUACAAGAUCGGCACAAUAACAUUGCCAUUACGAAAAAGACACUGGAUAGCAGUGCGUCGUAUAGGGCAGCACUACUAUAAUCUUGAUUCCAAACUUCCACAGCCUGAGUUAUUGGGAACUGAUUCCGAUGUGCUCCAGUUUUUGCGAGAACAGCUUGAGGAAAAGGAACAGCAGCGUGAACUUUUUCUUGUAAGUUAUCGUAACGACUGUACUGGACCAUCACAGCGAUGCAUGGAAGAGUCGCACGACAUAAAUAAAACAACACGUUCAACAUGAUGUUUAACAAAAAUUUCAUAAAAACAUGAAUGAAAUGGAGGUAAAAUGAAUUUGUUUAAGGUAAAAAACAUCUCAGCUAGGGGUUUCUAAGCAGAAAAAGUUAAAGAGCCACAUUAUUCUUUAUAUGGGUUAACGAUCUGUUAUACAUUAUGAAAACAGGUAAUAAACUAUCUCAAACCACGUUUGAAACGUUUUUUUAAAUUUAUUUCGAGUUUUCUUAAAAUAGUGGUAGUACAAUUUGAAAUAAUAUGCAUUAAUGGACGGAUAUGUUUCAAUUAACAGUGAUUACACUUGGAUACACUCUAAUUGAAGGAAUGAAUCGUGAUAAAAUUAUUAAUCGAGACGUUACUAAAAUAUGUAUGUAGAUAUGUUUAGAUUGGGUGACUUCAACAGUUAUAUAUCUGUUUGAAUUCCUCCAUGUGGCGGAAUGUUAGGCUUACGUCCUGACUGAGGACGACGCGGACGGCUUGGUUCUGGUACAAAGUAAGAUUGGGACGGUGAUGGAGCAGUCGGGGUAGUUUCGACAUUUGCCUGGUGCUGAUAGCAGUCGUCUCCGUAUUCGCUAACUUCCCGAUUACUUAUUUCGUUGAGGCGCUUGUAGCGUUCGCGACGGGCUUCAACCAUGUAAAGUAUUCCUCCAGGUAACAACAAUACAGCUCCAACCACGCCCAACGCAAACGACCAGCCCAUGUCAUUAUUCUGCCAUCCAGGCAUCCAGUCCCGAGAGUCUCCCUUGGCACCGAAAAUUACUACUGCAAUAAAUCCAAAAAUCGAGCCCAACACUUGGCAAGUCCCAAUGGUCAGUAGCAGCACAACGUAUCGAUCAUCGUCGCGAGAGGUCAUCAAGAAGGCCAGUGUAAGAGGCAGGCCAAUAAGGCACAUGACGAAGCAAAGCGUUGCAAAUAGCUGCACUGCUACAUAGAACCCCGGUAGUAGAAAAUCGUGUAUGAUGUAGUAUUCCUCUUCAAAGACCCACAUGCAUCCGUUGAAAGGGUUGUCGUAGAAACGGUGAAUGUCCUGAAAAUCAUUGAAGCACACUUCCCAUAAACCCAGAUUGGUAAAGCGUGGCUUUUCUAAACGCCCAUCUGUAACCAACCAAUAGGGUGUUGAAAACGCAAUGAUAAAAAGCAGAAAUGAAAUCCCGGAAACGCAAAGAGCCACUUGCGUACUGCGGUUCGACGCCCCCAUUUUCGAUCGCGGGAUAGUUUCCGUUUGACUAUACAACCGAAAAAAAAACACCCAAGCCUUUGCGUCAUAAACACAACACACGCCCUGUAGUGUAACCGUCUAACAAAAAAA